UACGUAGGGUGCAAGCGUUGUCCGGAAUUAUUGGGCGUAAAGAGCUCGUAGGCGGUUUGUCGCGUCUGCUGUGAAAACUCAGGGCUUAACCCUGAGCCUGCAGUGGGUACGGGCAGACUAGAGUGUGGUAGGGGAGAUCGGAAUUCCUGGUGUAGCGGUGGAAUGCGCAGAUAUCCGGAGGAACACCGGUGGCGAAGGCGGCUUCCUGGACCGACACUGACGCUGGAGGCGCGAAAGCUAGGGGAGCAAACGGG
rnacentral:rRNA from 1 species